rnacentral:Y_RNA from 1 species
GGCUGGUCUGAAGGUAGUGAGUUAUCUCAGUUAUCUCAGUUGAUUGUUCAGUCACUUGCAGAUCAAAUUCCUUGUUCUACUCUUUACCCCCUUCUCACUGCUGCACUUGACUAUUCGAAA